UGAUAGCGAUGAAGCGUGAGGUUGCUGCAUCGGCGAAAGCUUAUGCAGGUUUUCCGUGGAGCGAAUGUCAGAUAAUAUGACGACAA
rnacentral:ncRNA from 1 species